UGGGGAAUAUUGGACAAUGGGCGCAAGCCUGAUCCAGCAAUGCCGCGUGAGUGAUGAAGGCCUUAGGGUUGUAAAGCUCUUUCGCACGCGACGAUGAUGACGGUAGCGUGAGAAGAAGCCCCGGCUAACUUCGUGCCAGCAGCCGCGGUAAUACGAAGGGGGCUAGCGUUGUUCGGAAUUACUGGGCGUAAAGGGCGCGUAGGCGGCCUGUUUAGUCAGAAGUGAAAGCCCCGGGCUCAACCUGGGAAUAGCUUUUGAUACUGGCAGGCUUGAGUUCCGGAGAGGAUGGUGGAAUUCCCAGUGUAGAGGUGAAAUUCGUAGAUAUUGGGAAGAACACCGGUGGCGAAGGCGGCCAUCUGGACGGACACUGACGCUGAGGCGCGAAAGCGUGGGGAGCAAACAGAUUAGAUACCCUGGUAGUCCACGCCGUAAACGNUGAAUGCUAGACGUCGGGGUGCAUGCACUUCGGUGUCGCCGCUAACGCAUUAAGCAUUCCGCCUGGGGAGUACGGCCGCAAGGUUAAAACUCAAAUGAAUUGACGGGGUCAUAGCUGUUUCCU
rnacentral:rRNA from 1 species